AAACAGCCCCCUAUGUUUUGAUUCUUUGGCAGUUUUGGACCCCCAAGGCAAAAAAAAAUAAAAAUUUUGACAUGUGGCACCUCACUUAGGGUGCCACGUCAGCGUUGACCGAGUCAACAAUGGACUGGGGGUCCAAAACUGCCAAAGAAUCAAAACAUAGGGGGCUGUUU
rnacentral:pre_miRNA from 1 species